rnacentral:rRNA from 1 species
AGACCCGAAACCCGGUGAUCUAGCCAUGGGCAGGUUGAAGGUUGGGUAACACUAACUGGAGGACCGAACCGACUAAUGUUGAAAAAUUAGCGGAUGACCUGUGGCUGGGGGUGAAAGGCCAAUCAAACCGGGAGAUAGCUGGUUCUCCCCGAAAGCUAUUUAGGUAGCGCCUCGUGAAUUCAUCUCCGGGGGUAGAGCACUGUUUCGGCCAGGGGGCCAUCCCGGCUUACCAAUCCGAUGCAAACUGCGAAUACCGGAGAAUGUUAUCACGGGAGACACACGGCGGGUGCUAACGUCCGUCGUGAAGAGGGAAACAACCCAGACCGCCAGCUAAGGUCCCAAAGUCAUGGUUAAGUGGGAAACGAUGUGGGAAGGCCCAGACAGCCAGGAUGUUGGCUUAGAAGCAGCCAUCAUUUAAAGAAAGCGUAAUAGCUCACUGGUCGAGUCGGCCUGCGCGGAAGAUGUAACGGGGCUAAACCAUGCACCGAAGCUGCGGCAGCGACACUGAUGUGUUGUUGGGUAGGGGAGCGUUCUGUAAGCCGUUGAAGGUGGCCUGUGAGGGUUGCUGGAGGUAUCAGAAGUGCGAAUGCUGACAUAAGUAACGAUAAAGCGGGUGAAAAGCCCGCUCGCCGGAAGACCAAGGGUUCCUGUCCAACGUUAAUCGGGGCAGGGUGAGUCGACCCCUAAGGCGAGGCCGAAAGGCGUAGUCGAUGGGAAACGGGUUAAUAUUCCCGUACUUGGUGUUACUGCGAAGGGGGGACGGAGAAGGCUAUGUUGGCCGGGCGACGGUUGUCCCGGUUUAAGCGUGUAGGUGUGUGUUCCAGGUAAAUCCGGUUCACUUUAACACUGAGGCGUGACGACGAGGCACCACGGUGCUGAAGCAACAAAUGCCCUGCUUCCAGGAAAAGCCUCUAAGCCUCAGGUAACAUCAAAUCGUACCCCAAACCGACACAGGUGGUCAGGUAGAGAAUACCAAGGCGCUUGAGAGAACUCGGGUGAAGGAACUAGGCAAAAUGGUGCCGUAACUUCGGGAGAAGGCACGCUGACACGUAGGUGAAGUGGUUUACCCAUGGAGCUGAAGUCAGUCGAAGAUACCAGCUGGCUGCAACUGUUUAUUAAAAACACAGCACUGUGCAAACACGAAAGUGGACGUAUACGGUGUGACGCCUGCCCGGUGCCGGAAGGUUAAUUGAUGGGGUCAGCGCAAGCGAAGCUCCUGAUCGAAGCCCCGGUAAACGGCGGCCGUAACUAUAACGGUCCUAAGGUAGCGAAAUUCCUUGUCGGGUAAGUUCCGACCUGCACGAAUGGCGUAAUGAUGGCCAGGCUGUCUCCACCCGGGACUCAGUGAAAUUGAACUCGCUGUGAAGAUGCAGUGUACCCGCGGCAAGACGGAAAGACCCCGUGAACCUUUACUAUAGCUUGACACUGAACACUGGUCCUUGAUGUGCAGGAUAGGUGGGAGGCUUUGAAGUGUGGACGCCAGUCUGCAUGGAGCCAUCCUUGAAAUACCACCCUUUAAUGGCUGGUGUUCUAACGUGGGCCCGUGAACCGGGUUGCGGACAGUGUCUGGUGGGUAGUUUGACUGGGGCGGUCUCCUCCUAAAGAGUAACGGAGGAGCACGAAGGUUGGCUAAUCCUGGUCGGACAUCAGGAGGUUAGUGCAAUGGCAUAAGCCAGCUUGACUGCGAGCGUGACGGCGCGAGCAGGUGCGAAAGCAGGUCAUAGUGAUCCGGUGGUUCUGAAUGGAAGGGCCAUCGCUCAACGGAUAAAAGGUACUCCGGGGAUAACAGGCUGAUACCGCCCAAGAGUUCAUAUCGACGGCGGUGUUUGGCACCUCGAUGUCGGCUCAUCACAUCCUGGGGCUGAAGUAGGUCCCAAGGGUAUGGCUGUUCGCCAUUUAAAGUGGUACGCGAGCUGGGUUUAGAACGUCGUGAGACAGUUCGGUCCCUAUCUGCCGUGGGCGCUGGAAGAUUGAGGGGGGCUGCUCCUAGUACGAGAGGACCGGAGUGGACGCAUCACUGGUGUUCGGGUUGUCAUGCCAAUGGCACUGCCCGGUAGCUACAUGCGGAAGAGAUAAGUGCUGAAAGCAUCUAAGCACGAAACUUGCCCCGAGAUGAAUCUUCCCUGAGCCUUUAAGGCUCCUGAAGGAACGUUGAAGACGACGACGUUGAUAGGCCGGGUGUGUAAGCGCAGCGAUGCGUUGAGCUAACCGGUACUAAUGAACCGUGAGGCUUAACCUU